rnacentral:rRNA from 1 species
AUACGUAGGGGGCGAGCGUUGUCCGGAAUGAUUGGGCGUAAAGGGCGCGUAGGCGGCCCGGUAAGUCUGGAGUGAAAGUCCUGUUUUUAAGAUGGGAAUUGCUUUGGAUACUGUCGGGCUUGAGUGCAGGAGAGGUAAGUGGAAUUCCCAGUGUAGCGGUGAAAUGCGUAGAGAUUGGGAGGAACACCAGUGGCGAAGGCGAAUUACUGGACUGUAACUGACGCUGAGGCGCGAAAGUGUGGGGAGCAAACAGGAUUAGAUACCCUGGUAGUCCACACUGUAAACGAUGAAUGCUAGGUGUAGGGGGUAUCGACCCCUUCUGUGCCGCAGUCAACACAAUAAGCAUUCCGCCUGGGGAGUACGGCCGCAAGGUUGAAACUCAAAUGAAUUGACGGGG